rnacentral:rRNA from 1 species
AGUCGCGGGAGAAGGGGCCCUUCGGGGCCCCGGAGACCGGCGGAUGGGUGAGUAACGCGUAGGUAAUCUGCCUUUAGCACGGGAAUAACCCACCGAAAGGUGAGCUAAUGCCCGAUGAUGCAGCGGCCCCGCAUGGGGACAGUUGUUAAAGCCUUCGGGCGGCUAAAGAUGAGCCUGCGUGCCAUUAGUUAGUUGGUAGGGUCAAAGCCUACCAAGACGAUGAUGGCUAGGGGGUCUGAGAGGAUGAUCCCCCACACUGGGACUGAGACACGGCCCAGACUCCUACGGGAGGCAGCAGUGAGGAAUCUUGCGCAAUGGGGGCAACCCUGACGCAGCCACGCCGCGUGCUGGAAGACGGCCCUAUGGGUUGUAAACAGCUUUUGGUCGGGAAGAACCCCGGAGUUUCGACUCCGGCUGACGGUACCGAUUGAAUAAGCACCGGCUAACUCCGUGCCAGCAGCCGCGGUAAUACGGAGGGUGCAAGCGUUGUCCGGAAUCAUUGGGUGUAAAGGGUGUGCAGGCGGAAGUCUAAGUCGGAGGUGAAAUCUUGCCGCUUAACGGUAAAAGUGCCUUCGAAACUGGAUUU